CCGCUGUCACCGUCACUUGGGCUGUCACUGUCACCGGGAUUGUCACCACUGCUAAGUUUGUCACCGUUACUGGGAUUGUCACUGUCACCGUCACUGGGAUUGUCACCAUUGCUGGGUUUGUCACCAUUACUGGUGUCACCGUCACUGGGGCUGUCACCAUCACUGGGAUUGUCACUGUCACCGGGAUUGUCACCAUUACUGGGUUUGUCACCGUUCCCGCCGUCCCCGUCCCCGUCACCAGGAUUAUCACCGCUCCCAUUGUUAAGUUCACCAGGAUCGUCACCGUCACCGGGAUUGUCACUUUCACCACUGUCACCGCUAUCACCAUCACUGCUGUCACCGUUUCUGGGAUUGCUGUCACCAAUUUUGCGUCACCAUUACUGGGAUUGUCACCAUUACCACUGUCACCAUUACUGGGAUUGUCACCAUUAUUGUGUCGCCAUUACUGAGAUUGUCACCAUUUCUGAGGUUGUCACCCUUAUUGUGUCACCAUUACUGGGACUGUCACCAUUUCUGCGCUUGUCACCAUUACUGGGAUUGUCACCGUUAUCACCUUCACCAUUACCGGGAUUGUCACCAUUUCUGAGGUUGUCACCAUUAUUGCGUCACCAUCACUAAGACUGUCACCAUUACUGGGAUUGUCACCAUUACUGGGACUGUCACCGUUAUUGUGUCACCAUUACUGAGACUGUCACCAUUACCACUGUCACCGUCACUGGGAUUGUCACCAUUACUGGGACUGUCACCAUUAUCACCUUCACCGUCACUGGGAUUGUCACCAUUAUUGUGCCACCGUUACUGGGAUUGUCACCAUUACUGAGACUCUCACCAUUAUCACCUUCACCGUUACUGGGAUUGUCACCAUUAUUGUGUCACCAUUACUGGGACUGUCACCAUUACUGGGACUGUCACCAUUACUGGGACUGUCACCAUUAUUGCCUUCACCAUUACUGGGAUUGUCACCAUUAUUGUGUCACCGUUACUGGGAUUGUCACCAUUACUGGGACUCUCACCAUUAUCACCUUCACCGUCACUGGGAUUGUCACCAUUAUUGUGUCACCAUUACUGGGACUGUCACCGUUACCACCAUCACCGUUUCUGGGAUUGUCACCAUUAUUGUGUCACCAUUAGUGAGGCUCUCACCGUUACCACUGUCACCAUUACUGGGACUGUCACCAUUAUCACCAUCACCAUUAGUGGGAUUGUCACCAUUACUGGGACCAUCCCCAUCCCCGUGCAGAGCAGCAGGAGAGGUGUGGUGAGUGUGAGUGUGGGGGUCACGUUGGUGGUGGGUGUGCAACAGGUGUGAGCACGGCGUCGUGCAACACGGGGGGGGUGGUGGGGCAUGGGUGCAAGGCAGGGGUGCGCACAUGGUUGCUCACGUGUAGGUGCAAUGCACACUCUUGUGGACAUGCCUUGCACACACAAUGCACAC
rnacentral:lncRNA from 1 species